rnacentral:rRNA from 1 species
GAUGAACGCUGGCUACAGGCUUAACAAAUGCAAGUCGAGGGGAAACGACGGGGAAGCUUGCUUCCCCGGGCGUCGACCGGCGCACGGGUGAGUAACGCGUAUCCAACCUGCCUCUGACUGAGGGAUAACCCGUCGAAAGUCGGCCUAAUACCUCAUGGUAUCGUCUGCGGGCAUCCAACGACGAUUAAAGAUUUCAUCGGUCAGGGAUGGGGAUGCGUCUGAUUAGCUUGUUGGCGGGGUAACGGCCCACCAAGGCUACGAUCAGUAGGGGUUCUGAGAGGAAGGUCCCCCACAUUGGAACUGAGACACGGUCCAAACUCCUACGGGAGGCAGCAGUGAGGAAUAUUGGUCAAUGGGCGAGAGCCUGAACCAGCCAAGUAGCGUGCAGGAAGACGGCCCUAUGGGUUGUAAACUGCUUUUAUGCGGGGAUAAAGUGAGGGACGUGUCCCUCAUUGCAGGUACCGCAUGAAUAAGGACCGGCUAAUUCCGUG